CCAUCAUAGUCACUGAAAGAUGGGAACCGGCUAGGGAAGCUACCAUAAAGAAUCUCAAAGCUGCUGGCUUCACCUACUGGAAGCAUAUUUUUUUCAAGUAUACUAGCUUAAUCUCAUAUAUUCAUAUGCAAUAAUUUAAGUAUCAAUUAAUAUAUGGGAAACGCGGUUGCAGGCCAAAGGAAUCGAAAGAGAGGGAAGUGAAGUACAAGUCAAAGGUGAGGAAGAACUUAGUGAAGAGUGGAUACAACAUCGUUGGCAAUAUUGGAGACCAGUGGGCUGAUUUGGUUGAGGAUACACCAGGGAGGACUUUCAAGCUCCCUAACCCACUCUACUACGUAUACUCUUCUUAAGCAAAAUCUAUCUUCAUGUCUUUGUAGUUUUGUAACCAUGUAGCUG
rnacentral:lncRNA from 1 species